rnacentral:rRNA from 1 species
ACGCAACCCUUCGGGGUUGAGUGGCGGACGGGUGAGUAACGCGUGAGAAUCUGCCUUCAGGUCGGGGACAACCACUGGAAACGGUGGCUAAUACCCGAUGUGCGCAACGUGAAAGAUUUAUCGCCUGAAGAGGAGCUCGCGUCUGAUUAGCUAGUUGGUGGGGUAAAAGCUCACCAAGGCGACGAUCAGUAGCUGGUCUGAGAGGAUGAUCAGCCACACUGGGACUGAGACACGGCCCAGACUCCUACGGGAGGCAGCAGUGGGGAAUUUUCCGCAAUGGGCGAAAGCCUGGCGGAGCAAGACCGCGUGAGGGAGGAAGGCUCUUGGGUUGUAAACCUCUUUUCUCAGGGAAGAGCAAAAUGACGGUACCUGAGGAAUCAGCCUCGGCUAACUCCGUGCCAGCAGCCGCGGUAAUACGGAGGAGGCAAGCGUUAUCCGGAAUUAUUGGGCGUAAAGCGUCCGCAGGUGGCACUUCAAGUCUGUCGUCAAAGACUGGGGCUUAACCCUGGAAAGGCGGUGGAAACUGAAGCGCUAGAGUGUGGUAGGGGUAGAGGGAAUUCCCGGUGUAGCGGUGAAAUGCGUAGAGAUCGGGAAGAACAUCGGUGGCGAAGGCGCUCUACUGGACCACAACUGACACUCAGGGACGAAAGCUAGGGGAGCGAAUGGGAUUAGAUACCCCAGUAGUCCUAGCCGUAAACGAUGGAUACUAG